AUGGCUUACAUUGAACGAGGUGUUGUGAAAUCCAAGCGAUCAAUGGAAGCUCAGGACAAUCACCGACUUCUUCUGAGCCAUUCUUAACUACAUACGCGUGUUUUUUACGACUAUGUUAUCGAUGGAGAAGUCAGAUGCUUACAGGAAAGGCUCUGGUGGUGGCCCGGGGGGGCAGGAGGUGGAUCAUCUGGCAGUGGUCCACGUGGGCCGCCCCGUGGAUUAGACAAUGUUCGUGGACUUGACAGUGUUCGAGGGGACCAUAGUUCCUUACCCGCAUGUGGUUCUUGCUGUGGUUAAGCAUCCAAGUUAUCUGUUGUGCAUUUGUGAUAUUGUGAGAUCUCCAAUGGUGUGCUUUGAAAUGUGUAAGGAAUUGGGAACCCCCACCCCCAAAAAAUAGUGAGGAACUGAAAUUGUGUAAUAUGGUUAUGUCAAUAGAUUUCUCAAGAAAAAAAAGGUUUCUCAAGUCGUUAAAUAAACCACCAUGUUGUUG